rnacentral:hammerhead_ribozyme from 1 species
AUCCAUCUGAUGAGUCUGAAGUAGGACAAAACGCGCGUCCUGAAU